CCUUUACAUUCUUUACUUGCUUGUGCGAUACUUUCAACCCCUAAUCAGGUGGUUAUUGCGGCGGUGUCCCACCUCUUCCCAUUCCGAACAGAGAAGUUAAGCCCGCUUGCGCCGAUGGUACUGCAAUGCAAUGCGGGAGAGUAGGUGGCCGCCUUUU
rnacentral:rRNA from 1 species